UGCAAGUUUUAUUUCAGAUAAUUCUAUUUUAUGAGAAACUGAAAUUGAAAUUGAAAUUGAAAUUGAAAUUUUUAAGUUUUGAGUUUUGAGUUUUGAUUCCAAGUUUCCAACACGUUAGAUAUAGAAUUAAUGCGAACGCAAAGACCUUACCUUGCGGCGAUGGACUACUGCUUCUGUGUUUUCACUUUCAGUUACUGAAAGUAAUCUCGUGUGUGUUCUUGCACACAUAGUUCUCUCCGCGAGAACAUGUGUCCUUUCUGAUCAACCUAUAUUUACCUACUUUAAUGAUUUGUUUCCCUUUCGGUAUGCUUAUACACAUUCUUUAUCUUCCAAGAAUUAACGAAGAUAGCCCCUUUCAAAUUGAGCAGUGAGAGAGGGUGAUGCAGAGAUCUGCAAUGGCCAAGGCGCUUUUCCAAUCCUCGUCUCUUGCUUGCUCCUCUACUAUGGAUAUCUCCUACAAUUCAUCUAAAGCUUCUCAUAUAUUUGGUUCCCAGUUGAGAUCUCCGGAAAUUGAGCAGACCCAAUUGAGAUUCUUGGAUUCUUCUAAGUAAGUGCCCAAAAGUUGAAAUCUUUAUCUUCAGUAAUUAUUAUUGGAUGCACAUUCCUUGUGGUUUUGCUCUGUAUAUGUUCGUUUCAGGCAACUGUGUAGUGAACUGGUGAUUGUUAUGAUGUUGUAAGAAAAUGUUUAGAAUCAACAAUCGUAGCAGCAUAAUGUAGUGAGUACUAGCAGUCUAGUCCAGUUUGCUCUGAAAUUCUGCUUUAUAUCAACAGCUUUAAACACUUAUGUAACCAAACAUCUAGGUGUGGCUAUGUGUUAGCUAGAAAUCGAGUUUGCUAAUGAAUGUUGUAGAGUUCAGGAAAUUGGUUAAUUGAACUGAAGUCCCUGUGUAUUUGCAUUGCA